rnacentral:rRNA from 3 species
AGACCCGAAACCCGGUGAUCUAGCCAUGGGCAGGUUGAAGGUUGGGUAACACUAACUGGAGGACCGAACCGACUAAUGUUGAAAAAUUAGCGGAUGACCUGUGGCUGGGGGUGAAAGGCCAAUCAAACCGGGAGAUAGCUGGUUCUCCCCGAAAGCUAUUUAGGUAGCGCCUCGUGAAUUCAUCUCCGGGGGUAGAGCACUGUUUCGGCUAGGGGGCCAUCCCGGCUUACCAACCCGAUGCAAACUGCGAAUACCGGAGAAUGUUAUCACGGGAGACACACGGCGGGUGCUAACGUCCGUCGUGAAGAGGGAAACAACCCAGACCGCCAGCUAAGGUCCCAAAGUCAUGGUUAAGUGGGAAACGAUGUGGGAAGGCCCAGACAGCCAGGAUGUUGGCUU